rnacentral:ncRNA from 1 species
GAACAAUGUAUGUAAGGGAAGUCGGCAAGUCAGAUCCGUAACUUCGGGAUAAGGAUUGGCUCUAAGGGCUGGGUCGGUCGGGCUGGGGUGCGAAGCGGGGCUCGAGCCGCGGCUGGGGGAGCAGUCGCGCCGUCGCCCUCCUCUCGCCACCAUUGGAAGUUCGUUGUGCAGCCCAUCUCGCGGUAUAUCGUGCGUGGUCUCGCAAGGGGCUGCGUGCGGGGGUUCGUCCGUGGGCCGAAGGAGGACCGGGGGUGGGUUCUCGCGACGGUACUCGCCGGCCCAGUUCGCGCUGGGUCACCAGCGGGUCGCAUCGGCCGGCGCCUAGUAGCUUACUUAGAACAGGUGCGGACCAGGGGGAAUCCGACUGUUUUAAUUCAAACAAAGGACCGAGGUGGGUGUUGGCGCAAUGUGAUUUCUGCCCAAUGCUCUGAAUGUCAAAGUGAAUAAAUUCAAUGAAGUGCUGGUAAACGGAGGGAGUAACUAUGACUCUCUUACGGAGUCCUUAGCCUUAGUAAGGGAGAUAACGAGGUAGCCCUAAAGCAGGGCUCUUCCAAUC